rnacentral:rRNA from 1 species
GACAGAGGAUGCAAGCGUUAUCCGGAAUGAUUGGGCGUAAAGCGUCUGUAGGUGCGCUUUUUAAGUCCGCCGUCAAAUCCCAGGGCUCAACCCUGGACAGGCGGUGGAAACUACCAAGCUGGAGUACGGGUAGGGGCAGAGGGAAUUUCCGGUGGAGCGGUGAAAUGCGUAGAGAUCGGAAAGAACACCAACGGCGAAAGCACUCUACUGGGCCGACUACGUGCACUAGAGACGAAAGCUAGGGGGAGCAAAUGGG